rnacentral:rRNA from 1 species
CAAUAGCGUAUAUUAAAGUUGUUGCAGUUAAAAAGCUCGUAGUUGAAUUUUUGCUUGCCGCCGAUGUCGGAACUUCCGUACGUUCGGCGGCGUGCAUCCUUGGGUGGAACCUGUGUGGCAUUAGGUUGUCGUGCAGGGGAUGCUCAUCGUUUACUGUGAAAAAAUUAGAGUGUUCAAAGCAAGCUUACGCCGUUGAAUAUAUUAGCAUGGAAUAAUAAGAUAGGACCUUGGUACUAUUUUGUUGGUUUGCGCACCGAGGUAAUGAUUAACAGGGACAGUUGGGGGUAUUCGUAUUCCAUUGUCAGAGGUGAAAUUCUUGGAUUUCUGGAAGACGAACUACUGCGAAAGCAUUUACCAAGGAUGUUUUCAUUAA